UGAUGCAUGUUACUUGUGGUGGGUGUUGUCAUCUUUGAAGACGAUUGGUACGUUGCACUGGAUUAUUGACAGAGAGAAACUGCACUGCUUUAUUUUGGCUUGCCAGGAUGUGGAGGCUGUAGGAUUUGCUGACAGACCAGGAGAUAUGAGAAAUCCCAAAGUAGAGAUCCAGAAUCUACGUGGUGAAGAGAGGCCCUGAUUAUCCCUGUGGGAGAACUCCUGGCUGGGACAGAAAACAUAACAAAUGUUUUAAGGUCUCUGUGCUUGCGGAGAAACGAAAAAACGUCCACUUGAAUCCAAGACUUUGGGCAGUCUGGCCUCACUCACAGGCAGUGUUGGUACCUUAAAACCAGGGCAUCUUUCUUCUCUUUUAUGACCUGAGCAGGAUGCUGUUUUUCACUGAAGACAAAAACAAAAAACUGCUUUGUGCUUUUGUGUCUCCUCUGCAUCAGCCAGUUGUGGGGAGAUCUGCUCAGGUAAAGUCAUCCUCUGCUCUUGGAUCUUGGGAGAUGGUGAGUUCCUGGAUUUGGCUACAAAAUCAUCUCUGGAUAAAAGCUAAGUAUACUGUGACCUUACAUUUAUUGAGACUUUCUCUGUCCAAACUUUACAACAUACACCAAUACAGCACUAUACAUCUCAAUGUGGCUCCACUGAGCUGAUUUUCACCUCUUUAUUAUGAAGUCAAAG